rnacentral:lncRNA from 1 species
CAAUUCACUUACUCAUUUGUUGAGGGCUUUCCUGUUAAUUUUUCCUGGCCAAGAGCCAUAAAUCCACUUGCUGAGUUUGCAAGCCGGAUGGGCAUUGUGCGUGCGUUCCCAGCUGCACUGACCGGAGUCAUGGCAUCGAGUGGGGCGGAUUGCCUCAGGUAGAAACCGCAGCCUCCAGCACAGCUUGCGAUACGGCUCCAUGAGGAACUGCCGUGCGUGAUGACAGAUUGUAUCACUGCACCUGAUGAAGUGAUGGUCACGGAAACAGCCAGGAGCAGCCCGGCAUCGCUUUGCUUUGCACGGCGCCUGCGGGCCGGUAGAUGGCCCCAGAGGAAAAGGCUUGGUGCUGAGCGGCCCGGCCUUCACAUGCUCGCCAUGUGACCGAGAGCUCCGCAGCAUGGAGGAAGCACACAGUGAGAUGACUUCUAAAGCAGCAACUCCAAAUCUGUGUAUUUCUGUAGCCCUUGAAGUGCCACCACAUUUCAUCUCUGGGACAGAGGAGGUUUUCAGGCAGUGCCCAACCUGGACAUUGCCUGACAUGCAUGCAGCUGCCGGCCCAGCUGGGAUGGGCAUUGGAGCAGAAUAGAGCAACCUCUGCAGAUGUUUCUCCUGGAGCAAAGCGAGAGCAGCUUCCUGNNNNNNNNNNNNNNNNNNNNNNNNNNNNNNNAUGGAAACCCACCCGACCUGUGCUGAUGGUGAAGCUUUGGGCUCCUUUGAUGUUGGAAACGGAAGGAAGACGUUGCCUAAAUAACUUAUGCGAAGCCAACAUGAGAAGAAGCAAUGCAAGGAGAAGGACGUGUUGGGAGAAAAGGUGCAUGUCAGAGAUGGGGGACUGCCUGUGA